UACAGAGGGUGCGAGCGUUGUCCGGAAUCACUGGGCGUAAAGGGCGCGUAGGUGGUGGCUUAAGCGUGCGGUGAAAGCUCGGAGCUCAACUCCGAGUCGGCCGUGCGAACUGGGCUCACUGGAGCAUAGUAGAGGCAGGGUGGAAUUCCGGGUGUAGCGGUGGAAUGCGUAGAGAUCCGGAAGAACACCGGUGGCGAAGGCGGCCUGCUGGGCUAUGGCUGACACUGAGGCGCGACAGCGUGGGGAGCAAACAGGG
rnacentral:rRNA from 1 species